UACGUAGGGUGCAAGCGUUGUCCGGAAUUAUUGGGCGUAAAGAGCUCGUAGGCGGUCUGUUACGUCGGCUGUGAAAACCCGGGGCUCAACUCCGGGCCUGCAUUCGAUACGGGCAGACUAGAGUUCGGUAGGGGAGACUGGAAUUCCUGGUGUAGCGGUGAAAUGCGCAGAUAUCAGGAGGAACACCGGUGGCGAAGGCGGGUCUCUGGGCCGAUACUGACGCUGAGGAGCGAAAGCGUGGGGAGCGAACAGG
rnacentral:rRNA from 1 species